rnacentral:rRNA from 1 species
GGCCUAACACAUGCAAGUCGAACGAGACCUUCGGGUCUAGUGGCGCACGGGUGCGUAACGCGUGGGAAUCUGCCCUUGGGUUCGGAAUAACAGUUAGAAAUGACUGCUAAUACCGGAUGAUGUCUUCGGACCAAAGAUUUAUCGCCCAAGGAUGAGCCCGCGUAAGAUUAGCUAGUUGGUGGGGUAAUGGCCCACCAAGGCGACGAUCUUUAGCUGGUCUGAGAGGAUGAUCAGCCACACUGGGACUGAGACACGGUCCAGACUCCUACGGGAGGCAGCAGUGGGGAAUAUUGGACAAUGGGCGCAAGCCUGAUCCAGCAAUGCCGCGUGUGUGAAGAAGGCCUUCGGGUUGUAAAGCACUUUAAGCAGGGAAGAAAAAAUCAAGGUUAAUAUCCUUGGUCUUGACGGUACCUGAAGAAUAAGCACCGGCUAACUCUGUGCCAGCAGCCG